AUUGAACGCUGGCGGCAUGCCUUACACAUGCAAGUCGAACGGCAGCACGGACUUCGGUCUGGUGGCGAGUGGCGAACGGGUGAGUAAUACAUCGGAACGUGCCUAGUAGUGGGGGAUAACUACUCGAAAGAGUGGCUAAUACCGCAUGAGAUCUACGGAUGAAAGCAGGGGAUCGCAAGACCUUGUGCUACUAGAGCGGCUGAUGGCAGAUUAGGUAGUUGGUGGGAUAAAAGCUUACCAAGCCGACGAUCUGUAGCUGGUCUGAGAGGACGGUCAGCCACACUGGGACUGAGACACGGCCCAGACUCCUACGGGAGGCAGCAGUGGGGAAUUUUGGACAAUGGGCGCAAGCCUGAUCCAGCAAUGCCGCGUGCAGGAUGAAGGCCUUCGGGUUGUAAACUGCUUUUGUGCGGAACGAAAAGCCCUGGGUUAAUACCCUGGGGUCAUGACGGUACCGUAAGAAUAAGCACCGGCUAACUACGUGCCAGCAGCCGCCGUAACAC
rnacentral:rRNA from 1 species